rnacentral:rRNA from 1 species
AUACGUAGGGAGCGAGCGUUGUCCGGAAUUACUGGGCGUAAAGGGCGCGUAGGCGGCGCUUCAAGUAGUCUGUCAAAUGGGAGGGCUUAACCCUUUUUCGCAGACGAAACUGGAGAGCUUGAGAAGCAGAGAGGCAAACAGAAUUCCUGGUGUAGCGGUGAAAUGCGUAGAUAUCAGGAAGAAUACCAGUGGCGAAGGCGGUUUGCUGGCUGCAUACUGACGCUGAAGCGCGAAAGCCAGGGGAGCAAACGGGAUUAUAUACCCCGAUAGUCCUUUCAGUAAACGAUGGAUGCUGGGUGUGAGACAAGCGAUAGGUUCGUGCCUAAGUUAACACGAUAAGCAAACCUCCUGGGGAGUACGGUCGCAAGAUUGAAACUCAAAGAAAUUUACAGGG